rnacentral:misc_RNA from 1 species
GAUGAAGAACGUAGCGAAAUGCGAUAAGUAAUGUGAAUUGCAGAAUUCAGUGAAUCAUCGAAUCUUUGAACGCACAUUGCGCCCUCUGGUAUUCCGGGGGGCAUGCCUGUUCGAGCGUCAUUAUAACCACUCAAGCUCUCGCUUGGUAUUGGGGUUCGCGGUUCCGCGGCCCCUAAAAUCAGUGGCGGUGCCUGUCGGCUCUACGCGUAGUAAUACUCCUCGCUAUUGAGUCCGGUAGGUCUACUUGCCAGCAACCCCCAAUUUUUACAGGUUGACCUCGGAUCAGGUAGGGAUACCCGCUGAACUUAAGCAUAUCAAUAAGCGGAGGA